CUGGCGGCAUGCCUUACACAUGCAAGUCGAACGGCAGCGGACCUUCGGGUGCCGGCGAGUGGCGAACGGGUGAGUAAUAUAUCGGAACGUACCUUUCAGUGGGGGAUAACGUAGCGAAAGUUACGCUAAUACCGCAUAUUCUGUGAGCAGGAAAGCAGGGGAUCGCAAGACCUUGCGCUGAUUGAGCGGCCGAUAUCAGGUUAGCUAGUUGGUGAGGUAAAGGCUCACCAAGGCGACGAUCUGUAGCGGGUCUGAGAGGAUGAUCCGCCACACUGGAACUGAGACACGGUCCAGACUCCUACGGGAGGCAGCAGUGGGGAAUUUUGGACAAUGGGCGCAAGCCUGAUCCAGCCAUGCCGCGUGAGUGAAGAAGGCCUUCGGGUUGUAAAGCUCUUUCGGCCGGGAAGAAAUCGCACGGGUUAAUACCCUGUGUGGAUGACGGUACCGGAAUAAGAAGCACCGGCUAACUACGUG
rnacentral:rRNA from 1 species